rnacentral:rRNA from 1 species
UCAGAACGAACGCUGGCGGCAGGCUUAACACAUGCAAGUCGAGCGCCCCGCAAGGGGAGCGGCAGACGGGUGAGUAACGCGUGGGAAUCUACCCAUCUCUACGGAACAACUCCGGGAAACUGGAGCUAAUACCGUAUACGUCCUUUUGGAGAAAGAUUUAUCGGAGAUGGAUGAGCCCGCGUUGGAUUAGCUAGUUGGUGGGGUAAUGGCCUACCAAGGCGACGAUCCAUAGCUGGUCUGAGAGGAUGAUCAGCCACACUGGGACUGAGACNCGGCCCAGACUCCUACGGGAGGCAGCAGUGGGGAAUAUUGGACAAUGGGCGAAAGCCUGAUCCAGCCAUGCCGCGUGAGUGAUGAAGGCCCUAGGGUUGUAAAGCUCUUUCAACGGUGAAGAUAAUGACGG